GCCUCGAGACACAACAACAAGUUGUUUGUCCCACAUCAUGCUGGGGUGGCUGGGAGGGGAUAGGGUGAGACAGGGAGCAGCCACUCCACUGAAGACCAGGCCAUGCAGAGGGGAUGAGAAGGGCAGCGUUACCUCCCGAGAGGCUACUCCAAGGAGAGCGGCUCGGGGUCACUGUUUCCCCCUUUUCAGGCUGGCCCGCUUCACUAUCUGCGCCCCCUUCCUGCCCUCUAUCAGGUCCGGCUGUAGGCCACUCCCUCUCAGCUCCACCUGCAGACAGCAGCAGAGACAGAAAGCAGGACAGAUCGCAAAGACGGGCAGAACACAGGCAGAAGAUCGAAAGGAGGCCACACGGAGGUGGCAGACACACUGCCCACCAGGGAGAAGAGAGACUGGAGAGAGAGCUCAUAAAGAGCACUUUGCAGUAUAGAAAAGCCCUUCGACAGGCAGCAUCACCCAGAAUGUGACUUGCUUGAAACCCCAGAGCCAGUUGGUGACAGAAACAGGACGAUCCGGGUGCAAUCCCAUGGUGGCUCACGCCUGCUAUCCCAGCACUUUGGGAGGCCAAGGCCGGAGGACCACUUGAGCCCAGGAGUUCAAGACCAAUUUGGGCAACAUAGCGAGCCCCCAUCUCUACAAAAAUUUUUUUAAAAUAGCCAGGCAUGGUGGUGUGUGCCUGUAGUACCAGCUACUCAGAAGGCUGAGGCAGGAGGAUCACUUGAGCCCAGGAAUUUACAGUAAGCCCAGGUUACAGUGAGCCAUGAGCAUGCCACUGCACUCCAGCCUGGACUAAACAGCAAGACUUCAUCUCUAAAAACAAAAGAAAAAAGAGAAGAGAAGAGAGAGAAAGAAGAAAGAAACAAAGAAAGAAACAGGAUGAGCGCAGCCUCCCGAGACCCAAAGCUGAGUGUUUAAUGUCACUGUCACAAUGCACUGGGCACCAGAGGGCAGGUUCUGGUGGGCGCACACACACUCUGGCUCCCAGGGUGGAACAUGAUCCCUGGGGGCCUCCUGGUCCUUUUCCUCCGGCGUCUCCCAACUCUGGGUCCGGAGCUCCCCACAGCAGCGUCCCCUCAGCCCCGGCCUCCGGCGCCCACACCACCAGCCCUGCCGGCCUCCUGCCAGGCGGUUACCUUCAGGAAGACCCGCCGCCGGACCACCCUGGUGGAGAUGGUCUCCUCGUCGUCACUGAGGCCCUCGCUCUCCCCCAGCUCCUUGUCCAGCUCCUGGUGGAUGUGCUUUAGCACAAAGCACAGGGACCCCCUGACAAUGUGCAUCACGUUCUGACAGCUGACCAGGAAGAAGCUCAGCAGCACCAGCGUGACCAACAGCUGGGUGACGAAAGUCCACAUCCUCGCCUCCUCACCAGCCCGGUCCUCUGGCAGCCAGGGCCCCGGCCACCACGGGGGGCCUGCCUCUCAUUCUCCACUGGGACUCCUGAGUCCCCCAGGGACCCCUUGCAUUCCCCCUCCCUAUCUCUCUGGUUUGCUCUCUUGGUCUCUCACUGUUUCUCUCUCUGUGGGCAGGACACCGAAUGGCCCUCUCGGCUGAAGCAGCCCGGCCCAAGUGCCCUUCUGCCCAGCAGCCAGGCUCUGCCCUGAGUGGCCCGGGUGACAUCACGCUCCUAUAAUUUUACCUCCCCAAACCAGCUGCCGGAGCUGUCCAACCGGGCUAGAAGGAAGCCGGCAGGUGCCCAUGUCCUGAGCACUGAAAGCACAAGUGAAAGUCACUGUGUGAGUGACACCCGCUGCUGCCUAACCCCGCCCUGCCCAGAGACCUGGAAGUGGGGGCUCGGCCUCUCACCUAUCCUGCCCAUCCCCAUGGGAACUAGAAAGAGUUCUGCCCAGGGAAAGUUUCUUACUUUCAGAAAAUAAUACAGUCCGAGAAAGCAGCUACUUGUGUGUCUCCUUGGGCUGCUACUGCGGUGAUCCAAAUGCUGUUCCCCGGCAUGGUAGGGAUGAGACCAGCUAAUACCCUGGGUACUUAG
rnacentral:lncRNA from 1 species